rnacentral:rRNA from 1 species
GGAAUAUUGGACAAUGGGCGGAAGCCUGAUCCAGCCAUGCCGCGUGUGUGAAGAAGGUCUUCGGAUUGUAAAGCACUUUAAGUGGGGAGGAAGGGCAGUAACUUAAUACGUUGCUGUUUUGACGUUACCGACAGAAUAAGCACCGGCUACCUCUGUGCCAGCCGCCGCGGUAAUACAGAGGUUGCAAGCGUUAAUCGGAAUUACUUGGCGUAAAGCGCGCGUAGGUGGUUUGUUAAGUUGGAGGUGAAAGCCCCGGGCUCAACCUGGGAACUGCAUCCAAAACUGGCAAGCUAGAGUACAGUAGAGGGUGGUGGAAUUUCCUGUGUAGCGGUGAAAUGCGUAGAUAUAGGAAGGAACACCAGUGGCGAAGGCGACCACCUGGACUGAUACUGACACUGAGGUGCGAAAGCGUGGGGAGCAAAC